AGCGAACGCUGGCGGCAGGCUUAACACAUGCAAGUCGAACGGUCCUUCGGGAUAGUGGCGGACGGGUGAGUAACACGUGGGAAUGUACCCUUAGGUUCGGAACAACACAGGGAAACUUGUGCUAAUACCGGAUAAGCCCUUCGGGGGAAAGAUUUAUCGCCUUUGGAGCGGCCCGCGUCUGAUUAGCUUGUUGGUGAGGUAAUGGCUCACCAAGGCUACGAUCAGUAGCUGGUCUGAGAGGAUGGCCAGCCACACUGGGACUGAGACACGGCCCAGACUCCUACGGGGGGCAGCAGUGGGGAAUCUUGCGCAAUGGGCGAAAGCCUGACGCAGCCAUGCCGCGUGGAUGAUGAAGGUCUUAGGAUUGUAAAAUCCUUUCACCGGGGACGAUAAUGACGGUACCCGGAGAAGAAGCCCCGGCUAACUUCGUGCCAGCCGCCGCAGUAA
rnacentral:rRNA from 1 species